rnacentral:lncRNA from 1 species
CCUGCCUCAACCUACCGAGCAGCUGGGACUACAGGUGUACAUCGGCAUGCCCAGUUAAUUUUUGUAUUUUUAGUAGAGACAGGAGAACAGAAGAGCACACCGACAGGUACCAGUGGACUUCUGCAGGCCAUUAACAGCUGGACAACAUGGAAUUCGGCAAAGGGCGACCAGACUCAAGGGGAAGAUUACCUUCCCACUCCAUCUCCCUUUUGGCCUCCCCAUUUACAUCACUGAGAGUUGCUUCCACUCAAUAAAACCUUGCACUCAUUCUCCAAGCCCGUGUGUGAUUUGAUUUUUCCAACACACCAUGGCAAGAACCGCAGGAUACACAGAAAGCCCUCUAUCCUUGCGAUAAGGCAGAGGGUCUAAUUGAGCUGAUUAACAAGCUGCCUGAGGAUGGCUAAACUGAAAGAGCACACUGAAACAUGCACCCACUGAGGUUUCCCGAGCUGUAAACACUCAACCCUACAUGCUGCUUUGGGGUCAGAGCCCGAAAAUGUCC